rnacentral:misc_RNA from 1 species
AGGCUUUGUGCUUGCAGAUUCUAACUUGGAGGAUUAAAUAAUAUGCUGCCUUGAUACAGGUUUUAUGCAUACCAUUAUGUGAUCCCUUCGUGCUGAUUGAUUAUAAAUGAAAUGACAAAUCAUUUUCUCUUAACAGACAAAACACAUUCAAAUUUAAAAUAGCCUAUCAACAAUAUAAAUUUGAAAGUAUAUUAAUGAAGAAUGAGAGUAAAGUUGUUUCCUCCAAUCCUAAUAUAGCGAAGUCAUUCUCCAUCAGACAGCAAAAUUACUG